AUACGUAGGGUGCGAGCGUUGUCCGGAAUUACUGGGCGUAAAGAGCUCGUAGGUGGUUUGUCGCGUCGUCUGUGAAAUUCCGGGGCUUAACUCCGGGCGUGCAGGCGAUACGGGCAUAACUUGAGUACUGUAGGGGAGACUGGAAUUCCUGGUGUAGCGGUGAAAUGCGCAGAUAUCAGGAGGAACACCGGUGGCGAAGGCGAGUCUCUGGGCGAUAACUGACGCUAAGGAGCAAGAGCAUGGGUGGGGAACAGACUGAGAUGCCCUGUAAGUCCAUGUCGUAAACGGUGGUCGCUAGGUGUAGGGGACUUCCACGACUUGUGUGCCUUAGCUAACGCAUUAAGCGCCCCGCCUGGGGAGUACGGCCUCAAGGCUGAAACUCAAAUGAAUUGGCGUGG
rnacentral:rRNA from 1 species